UACGUAGGGGGCUAGCGUUGUCCGGAAUCAUUGGGCGUAAAGCGCGCGUAGGCGGCCCGGUAAGUCCGCUCUGAAAGUCCAGGGCUCAACCCUGGAAAGCGGGUGGAUACUGCCGGGCUAGAAUCCGGAAGAGGCGAGUGGAAUUCCUGGUGUAGCGGUGGAAUGCGCAGAUAUCAGGAGGAACACCUAUGGCGAAGGCAGCUCGCUGGGACGUUACUGACGCUGAGACGCGAAAGCGUGGGGAGCAAACAGG
rnacentral:rRNA from 1 species